UCCGUAGGUGAACCUUGCGGAAGGAUCAUUACCGAGUGCGGGAACCCAGUCGGGUCCCAAUCUCCCACCCGUGUCUACCACACCUAGUGUUGCUUUGGCGGGCCCACUCCUCCGGUGUUCCGCCGGGGGGGUCGUCCCGGGGCGCGGUGUGCCCCCGGGGCCCGUGCCCGCCAGAGGCACUCACUGUGAACGCUUUUGUGAAUGCGAGGAUUGUCUGAGUGACGAAAUGCAAUCGUUCAAAACUUUCAACAAUGGAUCUCUUGGUUCCGGCAUCGAUGAAGAACGCAGCGAAAUGCGAUAAGUAAUGUGAAUUGCAGAAUUCCGUGAAUCAUCGAAUCUUUGAACGCACAUUGCGCCCUCUGGUAUUCCGGGGGGCAUGCCUGUCCGAGCGUCAUUGCGAACCCUCAAGCACGGCUUGUGUGUUGGGCCGCCGUCCCCUCGUUUGGAGGGGACGGGCCUGAAAGGCAGCGGCGGCGUCGCGUCCGGUCCUCGAGCGUAUGGGGCUCUGUCACGCGCUCAAGGAGGGGUCCGGCCGGGGCCAUAGCCUCUGAAGGUCAAUUCUUCCAAGGUUGACCUCGGAUCAGGUAGGAGUACCCGCUGAACUUAAGCAUAUCAAUAAGCGGAGGA
rnacentral:ncRNA from 5 species